UACGUAGGGACCAAGCGUUGUCCGGAAUCAUUGGGCGUAAAGAGCGUGUAGGCGGCUUGUUAAGUCUUGCGUGAAAUCUCGGGGCUCAACCCCGAGCGGUCGUGAGAAACUGGCAGGCUAGAGUGCGGGAGAGGAGACUGGAAUUCACGGUGUAGCAGUGAAAUGCGUAGAUAUCGUGAGGAAGACCAGUGGCGAAGGCGGGUCUCUGGACAGUUCCUGACGCUGAGGCGCGAAGACCAGGGGAGCAAACGGG
rnacentral:rRNA from 1 species